rnacentral:rRNA from 1 species
UACGUGGGGGGCAAGCGUUGUUCGGAAUUACUGGGCGUAAAGGGCUCGUAGGCGGCCAACUAAGUCAGACGUGAAAUCCCUCGGCUUAACCGGGGAACUGCAUCUGAUACUGGAUGGCUUGAGUUCGGGAGAGGGAUGCGGAAUUCCAGGUGUAGCGGUGAAAUGCGUAGAUAUCUGGAGGAACACCGGUGGCGAAGGCGGCAUCCUGGACCGACACUGACGCUGAGGAGCGAAAGCCAGGGGAGCAAACGGG